rnacentral:rRNA from 1 species
UACGUAGGGUGCAAGCGUUGUCCGGAAUUAUUGGCGUAAAGGGCUCGUAGGCGGUCCAUCGCGUCGGGAGUGAAAAGCUGGGGCUUAACCCCAGUCCUGCUUCCGAUACGGGUGGACUAGAGGUAGGUAGGGGAGAACGGAAUUCCUGGUGUAGCGGUGAAAUGCGCAGACUAUCAGGAGGAACACCGGUGGCGAAGGCGGUUCUCUGGGCCUUACCUGACGCUGGAGGAGCGAAAGCAUGGGGGAGCAAACAGG